ensembl:lncRNA
AUAACAUUAGAAUUAUUUCAGUGUCAUCUGUUAUAUUCACAUGAGCUAUAUUGUGAACGUUCACCCUGACAACCACCAGUGAGAAAGACUUUCCAAUGAAAGGGUUCCCGUCCGCUGCCGUUGUAACUCCAAGAUCAUACUUUCAGGGAUCAUUUCUAUAGUUUUUGACUUGAGAAAUAUCGUACGAAAGUGAUCGGUUACUCUAACCACGAUGAAGAGUAUUGAUGUUCCCUUCUGAGCGCGAAGCGGGUAGCGAGUAAUGAUUCAUUUCAUCCGCUCGUUAGCGCUGAUGUUCCCUUCAGAGCGCGAAGCGGGCAGCGAGUAAUGAUUAAUUUCAUCUGCUCCUUGUCAUUGAUGACCGUUCCUUGCUCCCUAGUGGAGUUUGGAGGUAGGGAACAUGAUCAGAGUGGUUAGAUCUAGAUUACGGUCAAAAUAAAUCAAAGCUAUACCGUCGUGACGUUUCAUUUGGUAUCUUAGGGACUGAUAGCUUUUUAAUCUAGUAUAAAUAGUUACUUCAUUCUAUGUACACGUGUCGGUAAUGUGAGGUUAACCGUAUGCAGGUUUACAAUAGGUUUUCCAGCCAGAAAGAGACCGUAACCACAUUUUUUGACAAACCAGUUACAGUAUAAUGAAUGCCUAAUUACACACGCGGAAUCUGGAAUGCCUGUACAAUAACAGCACAAUAUAGCAGUAGCUUAUGCAUCUGAAUUGCGUGUGCUAUUUAAUUCCUCGUAGGAUUUAAUACAUAGGUAGCAUUCCGG